CGCUGAGGGCUGGAGAUUUGGACUGUAAUAAAAUAUUUGCCCUAGCACACGCUAAUCCGCGUCCCUUACUUACGGACGCAAUUUGAGAAGUUAUAGCAGUGGGGUGCAGACAGACGCUGGCAGGUCCGCGCGACAGCGUGUGGCCCUACCUACCUGGGCUACACAAAACUUCCAAAGUUCCUGCUAAGUUCCGGCACGGCUACCGGCUACAAAGGGUCUGAUGUCGAGAUGGGAGGAGGGCUGCCGUAGCGCGGCGGGCCGUGGUGGUGCGCGGCCGCCAUCAGCUCGAGCGGCGAGUGGUGCAUCAUCUGCAGCGAGCCGAG